UGAUUUUGAGAGACUUAUUGUAGAUUCUGGUAUUAUUCCACCCAGUCGGAACGAUUCUUCUCAUAGAAUUGGUUCCCUCACGAGGUGUGACGGUGCAAAUGACCAAAACUUACAAAAUUUAGGUAGUAAUCCGAUUGGUUCUAUCUUUAGAAAUAGUGCUAAUAUGGGGUGUGGCGGCGCAAGUGACCGACAACCUUUUCUCACAGAUGCAUUGAACAUACUACCUACAAAUUCGAGCGCUUUACAAACCAAUCCUCUUGUUCGAUUAGCAAGUGAUGAUUUAGCCGCUCAUGUUCUGUCGUCCUUAAAGCAACAAAUAUGUAAGGGCCAGUACGUUAAUUUAUGUCUGUUGCUAAAAGGAGCCGUUGAGCUUUCAGAAUUCUGCAGAGGUAGCGUUUUUCAAUUAACUGCAGACAGACAUAUUGAAACGGUGCAGAAAGAAUGUAAAGAUAAAUUAACCUCUGUCGAGAAAUGGACAGACGCGUUUAUCAUAUAUACGUCAAUUUAUCUGUUGAGCCACCCAGAUAAGGUACAUGAAAUGCUACAUUAUAUGUAUAACAUUAGGGAAUGUGCCAUGCGCCAAGGUGGCUUUGCUUGGAGAACAUAUGACGAACAAUUUCGUCUGCGUCAGGCAAUAACACCAACCUCCUGGUCACAUAUAAAUAAUGACCUCUGGUGGCGGUGCAUGCAGGUAAAAGAUACGCAAGUGCCCGUACAGACAAAUACACGUAGAUACACGUGCAACGAUUUCAACAAUGGCUACUGCGCAUGGUCAAAUUGUAAAUUUUCUCACUCCUGCGCUCAGUGUUUUGCUCCACACCCUGAGAUUAACUGCAGCCAGUUUCGGUCAACAAGCAGGUCACAAACUCCAAGGCCUCAAAAUACAUUUCGCUCCAAUGGGUUUCGUAGACCAUUCAGGGGUCGUGGAAGGGGAGAAUCCAACAGAAAGUAGAAACAAAAGGUUGGGUACAGAACAGGUCACUAAUUUUGACAUCUCAAAUAUAGCAAAAUCCCCCGUUAAACUAGAAGUCUUGAGACGUUUUUCACUUAGCUAUGAUAAAAAUGAAGCAACAUUUUUGAUAGAAGGUUUUAGCAAAGGUUUUCCCAUUCAAUACACGGGUCCUAGUUCCCUGCGAGACUCAAAAAACUUGCGAUCUACAUUGUUAAAUCCUGAUAUUAUACAAACUCAAAUAACAAAAGAGUUGAAGGCAGGGCGAGUCGCAGGUCCAUUUGUUCAACGCCCACUUCCAAAUUUAAUUAUAUCGCCAAUUGGUCUUGUUCCAAAAAAAACUCCUGGGGAAUUCCGAAUGAUUCACCAUUUGUCAUACCCCUCUGGUGAGUCAAUUAACGAUUAUAUCGACCCAGCUGUAUGCUCAGUGCAAUACACUAGUUUUGACGAGGCUGUCAAGUUAAUACAGGAACUGGGGCGUGACUGCAAGUUAUUUAAAGCAGACAUCAAAAGCGCAUACCGCUUGAUACCUAUACAACCGUCAGAUUUCGAGUUAUUGGGUUUUUGUUUCAAUGAUCGUUUCUAUUUUGACAAGGCACUUCCUUUCGGUGCAUCUAUUAGUUGCAUUACAUUUGAAAGGUUUGCCAGAUUUCUAGAAUUUUGCGUAAAGUCGAAAUUAAGGUCGGGUAAAUUGAUUCAUUAUCUGGAUGAUUUCUUAGGAGGCGAUAAAACAUCAACGUUGUGCACUGAGGAACUAACCAUUUUUAAGAAUACGUUUUCAGAAUUAGGCGUACCGUUAGCCGACGAGAAGACGGAGGGCCCGACGGAGAUACUUGUAUUUCUUGGCCUUGAACUUGAUUCAACCAAAAUGACUGUCAGAAUCCCUGUUUCAAAAAUUCAGGAGGUAGUACAAAAAAUAAAAGAGAUCCUAUCACAGCACAAAACAACGUUAAAAAAAAUGCAGUCUUUGAUAGGCUUUUUGAUUUUUUGUUGCAGAGCUAUCUCCGCGGGGAGACCCUUUUCUCGUCGGUUGAUAAAUUCAAUUUGUGGGUUAACGAAGCCGUAUCAUCAUAUUAGAGUAAAUAAGGAGAUAUGCUUAGAUUUAAACAUGUGGCUGGUGUUCUUGCAAAAUUUUAAUGGUAUAUCUGUCUUUCAUGACAGAUACUGGGUUACUAAUGAAGAUGUGCAGUCAUUUUUGGACAGCGCCGGGGGUACAGGUCUGGGUAUAUAUUUUAAGGGUCAUUGGUGCCAUGCUAAGUGGCCAGAUUCAUGGCAUUCACGCGGUCUUACGUCUGAUAUUACAGCCUUGGAAUUAUUUCCAAUUUUAGUGGCAAUGUUUAUUUGGGGAUCAGAUUUGGUGAAUAAAAAAAUCAAAUUUAACUGCGAUAACAUGGCAGUGGUCCAUAUCUUAAACAAAUUGUCCUCGAAAUCAGAAAAAGUGAUGUGCCUGGUUAGAUUUUUGACUUUGAGAUGUCUUCAUCUUAACAUAUUGAUAAAGGCUAAUCAUGUCCCAGGUCGUUUUAAUGGUAUAUGCGGUGCUUUGUCUCGCUUUCAGUUGACCAGAUUCAGAGAGUUAGCACCGACUGCAGAUCUCGAACCUUACCCAGUCCCAGAAUUCCUCUGGAACAUAUUCGAUCUAGAGCUAGACAACUGCUCCAUACAGGAAUCGCAACCAAUUCUGUCUUGACAUAUAAGACCGCCAUUCGGUCUUUUGAAAACUUUAGACAGUUGUAUGCACUUUCAAAAUGCUGGCCUAUUCCGAGUCGACACAUAAUUUUGUUCAUGAGUUUUUGCUUCGAGAAGGGGUUUUCGCCUAAAACUAUUACUACAUAUGUGGCGGGCUUAAAUUACUAUCACAAACUGUUGGGGUUUUAUGAUAUCUCUCAGGUUUUUCUUAUCAAGAAAUUGUUGGAGGGUUGCCACAGAAACCGGAUUACUUAUGACAAUCGUGCGCCACUGACAAAGCCCAUUUUGGUUGCCGUCUGCGAGAAACUUACGAAAAUUUGUUUUGAUAAUUAUGAGACAAAAUUAUUCCUAGCUCUCUUCGCAUUAGCAUAUUUUGGCCUAUUCAGGGUCAGUGAACUAGUUGUUUCCUGUAGGGGGCAGACAGAGGGCCCAAUACAGCAGUCAGAUAUAUCAUUUAGCGGCAACAAAUAUGUUUUUAUCAAACUCCAGCAUUUCAAAACGAACCAGAGAGGAAAGCCUAUUGUAUUGAAAAUACCAAAGGAAAUAGGUCCUAUUUGCCCGGUGCGUUCAUUAUUAGAUUUUGUAGAAAUACGCCCUAAAAAUGGAAGUGUUUUAUUCUGCCACAAGGAUGGCGUACCAGUAACUAGAGCUUAAUUUGUCGCCAUUUUAGCUAAAAGUAUUAACGAAUGUCGAUUACCAGGUGUCUUCAAGUCUCACAGUUUUAGAAUUGGUAGGGCCACAGAUUUAGCGUCUCAGGGUCAUUCAUCACAGGUUAUUAUGAAACUUGGUAGAUGGAACUCCGAUUGUUAUAAAUUAUAUAUUCGUACUUAAGUGUCAUGUUGGUAUCGUGACCAUCAUCGUAAAAUAUCUGUAAACUUUCCUAGAACGUUUGUUAUAAACGUAUGGUCAGAUAACGGCCAAUAAUGCCUAAAUUUUUAAUAAACGGCUACAAAGAGGUUUGAGAAAUGCCAGUUAUGGACUUCUUUUUAUAUAAGAUCUAUUUACAUGUUGAAAUAUCCAGGAUAGGGAAAAUUGUAGGACUGAAAUCUGUGUAAACUUUUGUUUCAAGAAAUGAGAUAUGUUUUGAAGGCCUUUAAGGCUUGAUCAUGUAGCUGUCACCUCUUUUUCUGGUCGUCCCGUUAUGACUAAUAAUAAAAUACAUUUAAGUUAAACCUAUUUCUGAUAAUUUUUUUCCUCUAUUAAGUAUCCGUUGAAGAUUUGAAUAUUGAUUAACAAAGAAGGAAGUAUUAAUGAACUCGUUAAUUAUGAUUAUCCCCACCCCGUCUUAAGAAAUUUAGAUGGUGACCGUGCGAUUUACUUGACAUCUUCUGGCAUUUCUAAACAUUGUUGCAUUCAUGUUUUUCUAGACAUCUGGGUGUUAGGGGACUCGAUACCUUAUUGGGCCGGUGAAAGAGCGAAACAGACAGGGAAGGAGCAUCUGUCUUUACCGAAUACGACAAUAGCAUGGUGGGCAGUCAGGGGGUUGGGCUGGUCAACCUUCCGCCAUUCAAUUGAGACCCAGAAAUGAAGAAAAGUAACAGCAAGUUGAACAUGGAGAACAAUGAUAACAAAUGGAACAAACAGGCAGUACCUACAGCACAUUCAUUAAAGGUGAAAACACCAUUCAAAAUGUCGCCACCUGCACAACUAGGGGA
rnacentral:misc_RNA from 1 species